rnacentral:tRNA from 1 species
GGCUGGGUGUAACUCAGUGGCAGGGUACUUGCCUAGCAUGCAGGAUGCCCUGAGUUUGAUCCUCAGCACUGCCA